GAUGAACGCUGGCGGCGUGCCUAAUACAUGCAAGUCGAGCGAACAGACGAGGAGCUUGCUCCUCUGACGUUAGCGGCGGACGGGUGAGUAACACGUGGAUAACCUACCUAUAAGACUGGGAUAACUUCGGGAAACCGGAGCUAAUACCGGAUAACAUGUUGAACCGCAUGGUUUAACAGUGAAAGACGGUCUUGCUGUCACUUAUAGAUGGAUCCGCGCCGCAUUAGCUAGUUGGUAAGGUAACGGCUUACCAGGGCAACGAUGCGUAGCCGACCUGAGAGGGUGAUCGGCCACACUGGAACUGAGACACGGUCCAGACUCCUACGGGAGGCAGCAGUAGGGAAUCUUCCGCAAUGGGCGAAAGCCUGACGGAGCAACGCCGCGUGAGUGAAGAAGGUCUUCGGAUCGUAAAACUCUGUUAUUAGGGAAGAACAAAUGUGUAAGUAACUAUGCACGUCUUGACGGUACCUAAUCAGAAAGCCACGGCUAACUACGU
rnacentral:rRNA from 1 species